GGCCUUGGGUAAUCGAGCGCGGCAAUUGUCGUGUUAGGAAGGUCCAUGCUCGCACGGGCUGCGAUGCCCGUAGUGUUUGUGCUCGCUGAAACGAUAAGGCGGGGCACCGGUGAUGCCGGUGACGGCGGAAAAAGCGGCUAAGGCUUCGGCUAUGCCCCAGUAUUCCUGAAAAGUGCCACAGUGACGAAGCAGGUUUGGAAACAAGCCUGAUGGAACGCGGUAAACCCCUCAAGCGGGAAACCCAAACUUACGGUAGGGGAGCUUUGGAUAACAAAUUGAAGUGAUUCCAGGGGAGCGUAUUUUUACGCUGAGAUAGAUGAUUACCACUGCACGUUUACGCCUGACAUUCGUGCUUUGACAAAACAUGGCCUACAGAG
rfam:Lactobacillus secaliphilus strain DSM 17896 NODE_20, whole genome shotgun sequence.